rnacentral:rRNA from 1 species
GUCCACGCCCUAAACUAUGAAUGUUAGUCGUCGGGGAGCUCGUCUCUUCGGUGAUGCAGCUAACGCAUUAAACAUUCCGCCUGGGGAGUACGGUCGCAAGAUUAAAAACUCAAAGGAAUAGACGGGGACCCGCACAAGUGGUGGAGCAUGUGGUUUAAUUCGAAGAUACGCGAAGAACCUUACCUGGCCUUGACAUUGAUAGAAUCUGCUAGAGAUAGCGGAGUGCCCUUGGGAGCUUGAAACAGGUGCUGCACGGCUGUCGU